rnacentral:rRNA from 1 species
CCUACGGGUGGCAGCAGUGGGGAAUAUUGGACAAUGGGGGCAACCCUGAUCCAGCCAUGCCGCGUGUGUGAAGAAGGCCCUCGGGUUGUAAAGCACUUUCAGUGAGGAAGAACGCCUGGUGGUUAAUACCCAUCAGGAAAGACAUCACUCACAGAAGAAGCACCGGCUAACUCCGUGCCAGCAGCCGCGGUAAUACGGAGGGUGCGAGCGUUAAUCGGAAUUACUGGGCGUAAAGCGCGCGUAGGUGGCUUGAUAAGCCGGUUGUGAAAGCCCCGGGCUCAACCUGGGAACGGCAUCCGGAACUGUCAAGCUAGAGUGCAGGAGAGGAAGGUAGAAUUCCCGGUGUAGCGGUGAAAUGCGUAGAGAUCGGGAGGAAUACCAGUGGCGAAGGCGGCCUUCUGGACUGACACUGACACUGAGGUGCGAAAGCGUGGGUAGCAAACAGGACUAGAUACCCCAGUAGUC